rnacentral:rRNA from 1 species
UACGUAGGGCGCAAGCGUUGUCCGGAAUUAUUGGGCGUAAAGAGCUCGUAGGUGGCUUGUCACGUCGGGUGUGAAAGCUUGGGGCUUAACUCCAGGUCUGCAUUCGAUACGGGCUGGCUAGAGGUAGGUAGGGGAGAACGGAAUUCCUGGUGUAGCGGUGAAAUGCGCAGAUAUCAGGAGGAACACCGGUGGCGAAGGCGGGUCUCUGGGCCUGUACUGACGCUGAGGAGCGAAAGCGUGGGGAGCGAACAGG